GGGAGACCUGGGAACACUGAGACACUUGUGGACACUUCAAAACAUGGGGACACUAGGGGACACUGAGACACUUGGGGACAUGGGGACACAGACACUAGGGGACACAUGGGAACACAGACACUAGGGGACACUGAGACACUAGGACACAUGGGGACACAGACACUGAGACCUGGGGACACAGACACUUGGGGACACUGGAAAACAUGGGGACACUGAGACACUAGGGGACACAUGGGGAUGCUGAGACACAUGGGGAUGCUGUGAGACAUAGGGACAUUGGGAGACAUUGGGACACGGAGACACUAUGUCCCCCAGCCAGUGUCCCUAGUGUCU